rnacentral:rRNA from 1 species
AUUGAACGCUGGCGGCAGGCUUAACACAUGCAAGUCGAGCGGGGUGAUGGUGCUUGCACUAUCACUUAGCGGCGGACGGGUGAGUAAUGCUUAGGAAUCUGCCUAUUAGUGGGGGACAACAUCUCGAAAGGGAUGCUAAUACCGCAUACGUCCUACGGGAGAAAGCAGGGGAUCACUUGUGACCUUGCGCUAAUAGAUGAGCCUAAGUCGGAUUAGCUAGUUGGUGGGGUAAAGGCCUACCAAGGCGACGAUCUGUAGCGGGUCUGAGAGGAUGAUCCGCCACACUGGGACUGAGACACGGCCCAGACUCCUACGGGAGGCAGCAGUGGGGAAUAUUGGACAAUGGGGGGAACCCUGAUCCAGCCAUGCCGCGAGUGUGAAGAAGGCCUUAUGGUUGUAAAGCACUUUAAGCGAGGAGGAGGCUCUUUUGGUUAAUACCCAAGAUGAGUGGACGUUACUCGCAGAAUAGGCACCGGCUAACUCUGUGCCAGCCGCCGUAACAC